rnacentral:rRNA from 1 species
CGGCAGCGGGGUGGGAGCUUGCUCCCACUGCCGGCGAGCGGCGCACGGGUGAGUAACACGUAUGCAACCUGCCCCUGUCAGGGGGACAACCCGCCGAAAGGCGGGCUAAGCCCGCGUAUAUCGCCCCGGGGCAUCCCGGGGGGAGGAAAGGAGCGAUCCGGACAGGGAUGGGCAUGCGGCGCAUUAGCUGGUCGGCGGGGUAACGGCCCACCGAGGCGACGAUGCGUAGGGGUUCUGAGAGGAAGGCCCCCCACACUGGUACUGAGACACGGACCAGACUCCUACGGGAGGCAGCAGUGAGGAAUAUUGGUCAAUGGGCGGGAGCCUGAACCAGCCAAGCCGCGUGAGGGAAGAAGGUACAGCGUAUCGUAAACCUCUUUUGUCAGGGAACAAAGGCGGGGACUAGUCCCCGGAUGAGGGUACCUGAAGAAAAAGCAUCGGCUAACUCCGUGCCAGCAGCCGCGGUAAUACGGAGGAUGCGAGCGUUAUCCGGAUUUAUUGGGUUUAAAGGGUGCGCAGGCGGCCUGUUAAGUCAGCGGUAAAAGCCCGGGGCUCAACCCCGGCGAGCCGUUGAAACUGGCGGGCUGGAGUUGGAGAGAAGUACGCGGAAUGCGCGGUGUAGCGGUGAAAUGCUUAGAUAUCGCGCAGAACCCCGAUUGCGAAGGCAGCGUACCGGCUCCACACUGACGCUGAGGCUCGAAAGUGUGGGUAUCAAACAGGAUUAGAUACCCUGGUAGUCCACACAGUAAACGAUGAAUACUCGCUGU